UACGUAGGGUGCGAGCGUUAAUCGGAAUUACUGGGCGUAAAGCGUGCGCAGGCGGUGAGUUAAGUCUGAUGUGAAAGCCCCGGGCUCAACCUGGGAAUGGCAUUGGAAACUGGCUUGCUUGAGUGUGGCAGAGGGGGGUGGAAUUCCGCGUGUAGCAGUGAAAUGCGUAGAGAUGCGGAGGAACACCGAUGGCGAAGGCAGCCCCCCUGGGCCAACACUGACGCUCAGGCACGAAAGCGUGGGGAGCAAACAGG
rnacentral:rRNA from 1 species